UGAACAUGUGCAAAAUAGAAACAAACAUUCAAGAUGAGUGAGUGAUGAGUUCUGCCUGUGGUCAGAAGAAAACAACACUCCCAACUCUGCAACCUGAUCACUUCCCUACUUAGUCCUGUUUGUGGAGCCGCCUUAUUAACGACAUUAGAACAAAGAUAUGAAGCAGACAAUGAGGUCCUCCACCAGUGCUUCCUAGAACCUGGGGACAACACAGUUGUUAUGCAGCCAAUCCAUGCCCUGGAUGCAAGUUUCGCAGGCUCCAGUAUCAUUCUGGUCAUUCCUCUGCAAAACACUACUGAAAAAGCACUAAAGGAAUUGACAAAGGGAUUGUGACCUGAUGCUUCACAAUGAGAACCCUGUUGUGAUUAAAUGGUUAAGUUGAAAGUUAAUGGAAGCUGCAAAGUGUUUGCCUUCUGUAUCUGCAAUGGAAACCCCACCUGCUGUCUUCUUGGUGUUUUUGUUCCUUGUCUUUAAGACCUGGUCUCAAAUUCAGAAGUUCAAUACCAGCGUCAGUUUGACUUGACACAAUCUAUGGUUGUAGUGUAUUGAUUUCACAAAUUGAACCUAUGAAAUGAAACUCUGUCAUCAAGAAGCUAUUGGACACCUAUAUGGACAUGCAUUUACCUCUCUGCCCAGUGCAAUUAUUUAUAAAUGUCUGUGGAAGAAUAGAGAGAGGAGGGAGGAAAGGAAGAAUAGAUUAUUCUGUGUCUUUCAGGAAGAGAGAGACAAGAAAAGAGAAAAUAUGAAAAACACUAGAGCAACACCUAACUCUUGAUUCCUGGGUUAGAGAAGGCUUUUUGUGAGAAGCCUAACACUAGAAGGCUAUGAAGGAGUUUGCCGGGUAAAGGGGUGGUGGGAGAAAGGAGGAAACAAGUCCAAACUAAUAUAAGGUCAAGACACAAUGACAGUGGACUGAAUCACAAAGUCUGCCAUUUUUUUUUUUUCCAAUAUGGUUGGAGAAACUAGAGAUGAAGGUGGAACAGUAGUCAGAUCAUGGCCGGCCUUGAGGGCCAUACCAGAGAGUUUGAAUUGCAUCCGGAAGGCAGUAGGGAGCCAUGGAAAACUUUUAAGUUGAGUGAUUAGAAACAAAACUCUCUCUGUUAAUGGAGAAUAAAUUCAAAGGGCAAAAAUGGAAGCAGCACACAAGAGAUGAUGGAAACCUGAGCCACAGUCAAAUAUACGUGGCUAAUGAUUGGAUGCAGGGACUGAGAGAGACAAGAGCUUGAAUGUUGUGUAAACCAAAUGGGGCUUGGUCAGUAGACAGCAGUGAAGGCAUGAAGUCAGUUACGAACUUUGGAUCAAGUAAACAGCACCACAGAGCCAAUAUUAAAAAGAUAUUAAUUUUUGGGUGAUUGAAGUAUUGUUUUGGGUGAGAGAGACAAAAAGCAGGGAGAAAGGACAAAUAAUACGUCAGCUUUGGAGGAAGUACGGAACUAGAAAUGAAGAUUUUGGAAGUGCCUACAUUUAGAAGAUAGAGGAUAGACUACUAAAUUAAACUGAAAAGCAUUUGAUUGAUGAAGGUUACAUCUGGAGAGCACAUAAUUGAGUAGGCCAAGGAAGAGCAGACUGUUUAGUAGUGGCAGAUUCCUCUGAGAAGCCAAUAUUUCUACAGUCAACCAAAUGUAUUUAGUGUUUACUAUGUGGCAGCCACUAGGGCUCAUACCCUAACAGGAUAGACAGAGAGGUUAGACAAACAGUCCUCUCCCCACCCCCCAAAGCAUACAAUGAACCAUAUAAACAAAACAAUGCACAAGUUACUAGCAACUUAAAUGUUUCUAGCCCUUACUAUACUUUAGGCAUUGUGCUAAGGAGUUUACUUAUCUCAUUUAGGCCUCAC
rnacentral:lncRNA from 10 species